UAACCUGCCUCUUAGCGGGGGAUAACUAUUGGAAACGAUAGCUAAUACCGCAUAAAAGUCGAUAUCGCAUGAUGUUGAUUUGAAAGGUGCAAUUGCAUCACUAAGAGAUGGACCUGCGUUGUAUUAGCUAGUUGGUGAGGUAACGGCUCACCAAGGCGACGAUACAUAGCCGACCUGAGAGGGUGAUCGGCCACACUGGGGCUGAGACACGGCCCAG
rnacentral:rRNA from 1 species